rnacentral:lncRNA from 1 species
CUCCAACGGCUCAUUUAUCCAGUUUCUUAAAUUAAGAACUACCAUUGGGAAAUUUGGAAACCAGUUUCUUGGAAAGAAUCGAGAAACCAGGUGCAAGAUUGCACCCAGUUUCUUAUGACAAGUGGGUCCCUAAAUUCUCGGUUGGCAUGCAAUUUUGGGUGCUAUUUCAUUUUUUUUUCUUUUGCUGCCUACUUUGUUUAAUUGGAAAACGUGCCAAUUGAUUUCCCUUUUUUUUAGCAGCGUUUCUCUUUUGUUGGCUGGCUGUUUUUUUUUUUUAAUUAUAUAUGUUUUAUUAAUUUUGCAUUGUGUUUUAGUUUUGUUUUCGCUUUGUAAAGCCAACGACUAUAUAUUAAAAAAUGGUUAGAAUUUUAAAUUUUUGCAAUGUAAUUUUAAUUUUGGUAAUGUAAUUUUAAUUAUAAUUUAGAUUUUUAAAUUUAAUUUAUUUUAUUAAAUUAGAUAAUUAAAAUAUAGAAUUUUAAUUUAAAAAUAUAAUUAAAGUAUAUAAAUAAUAAUGCAAAUAAAAU